GAUGAACGCUAGCUACAGGCUUAACACAUGCAAGUCGAGGGACCGGCGCACGGGUGAGUAACACGUAUCCAACCUGCCCUUUACUCGGGGAUAGCCUUUCGAAAGAAAGAUUAAUACCCGAUAUAAAGGAUGGGGAUGGGUCUGAUUAGCUUGUUGGCGGGGUAACGGCCCACCAAGGCACCGAUCAGUAGGGGUUCUGAGAGGAAGGUCCCCGACGUUGGAACUGAGACACAGUCCAAUCCCCUACGGGAGGCAGAAGUAAGGAAUAGUGGUCACUGGGCGCGAGCCUGAACCAGCCAAGUAGAGUGCAGGAGGACGACCUAUGGGUUGUAAACUGCUUUUGUAUGGGGAUAGUUACCAUACGAAUAAGGACCGGCUAAUUCCGUGCCAGCAGCCGCGGUAAUUC
rnacentral:rRNA from 1 species